CUAGUUCAUUAUAUUCGAACAUUAUUAAACACAAGAAGAUCCAUUUCUUCUUUUCCGCUGAUACUUACCCACAGAUCCAUCUCUCUUCUUCUAUUUUUUAUUUAUAAUAAUUCUUUCAGUGUAAUUGAUGAGUAAUUAUUGGAAGAAGAGAAGGCCUUGAGCAAAUCUUUUGACUGUUUGAUGGGCAACACAUGCCGCGGAUCUUUCAAAGGGAAACUUUACCAGGGCCACACUCAGCCCGAGGAACAAUCCACUGCUUCCCAUACCAAGCGAAAUCCUUCCUCUGACAAUUCCAACACAGAACAUUCUCCCUCCAGCCUCGCUGCUCAAGAAUUUUCCAAAGAAAAUCCCAAAAAAGACAACAAUUUGCCUCUCAUUAGCCCCAAUAAGAAAGAUUCAAUCAUGAGGCGUGGUGUUGAUACUCAGUCUUAUUAUGUUUUGGGUCAUAAAACUGCAAACAUUCGUGAUCUUUACACUUUAGGCCGUAAAUUAGGACAAGGACAAUUUGGGACUACUUAUUUAUGCAUUGAGAAUUCUACAGGGAUUGAAUAUGCCUGUAAGUCUAUAUCCAAGAGGAAAUUGAUUUCCAAGGAGGAUGUUGAGGAUGUUCGCAGGGAGAUUCAGAUAAUGCACCAUUUGGCUGGUCACAAGAAUAUUGUAACUAUUAAGGGAGCUUAUGAGGAUUCAUUGUACGUGCAUAUUGUUAUGGAGCUUUGCUCUGGCGGAGAGUUGUUUGAUAGAAUCAUCCAGAGGGGCCAUUAUAGUGAGAGGAAAGCAGCUGAAUUGACCAAGAUUAUUGUAGGUGUUGUUGAGUCAUGUCAUUCACUUGGGGUUAUGCAUAGAGAUCU
rnacentral:misc_RNA from 1 species